CAAAGUUUACAGUGGCAAAUCAAGUCUCAAAAGACAGGAGAAUUCAUACUGGAGAGAAAGCUUACAAAUGUAAGAGUUUGUGACAAGGAUUUUGGGUGUGAUUCACACCUGACACAACAUACUAAAAUUCACACUGGAGAGAAACCGUACCAGUGUAAUGAGUGUGGCAAAGCUUUUGGUGGGUAGUCAACACUUACCAUCAGGCAAUCCAUGGUGUAGGGAAACUUUACUAAUGUAAUGAUUGCCACAAAGUCUUCAAUAACACUAAAACCAUUGCAAAUCAUUGGAGAAGCCGUAAUGAAGAGAGAUUUUAAAAGUGUGAUAAAUGUGGCAAAUUUUUCAGACAUUGUUCAUACCUUGCAGUUCAUCAGCAAACUCAUACAAUAGAGAGAAACCUUACAAAUGUCAUGAUUGUGGUAAGGUCUUCAGUCAAGCUUCAUCUUAUGCAAAACAGAAGAAUUCAUACAGGAGAGAAACCUCACAAGUGUGAUGACUGUGGCAAAGCCUUUACUUCACGUUCGCACCUCAUUAGCCAUCAGAGAAUCCAUACGGGAGAGAAAUCUUACAAAUGUCAUCAGUGUGGCAAGGUCUUCAGUUCGAGGUCACUCCUUGAGGAACAUCAGAAAAUUCAUUUUUGAGAUGAUUGUUCCCAAUGCCAUGAGUAUAGCAAACCAUCAUACAUUAAUUGGCAUUAGUCAAUUCAGCAUUGACUUGAGUUUGCGUUGACUUAACAUUGAGUUCAAGCAUUAAUUGACAUUAAAGUGUUUAUGUUUAGAAGAUUGGGCCAGGCAGGGUGACUCACGCCUGUAAUCCCAGCACUUUGGGAGGCCAAGGCGGAUAGAUCACUUGAGGUCAGGAGUUUGAGAGCAGCCUGGCCAACAGAUGUGAGUCAUUUUUCCCAGCCUGUUUUUUUGUUUCUUUAAGAAAAACUGAUAGGGAUUUUUGUGGGUAUGUGUUGAAUCU